AACCAACAGGCCAGUCUCUCGAUCUGCUGGUCAGUCCUCGUUCCUUCUCUCACCUAUGGUCAUGAGGGUUGGGUCAUGACUGUAAGAACGAGAUCGCGGGUACAAGUGGCUGAAAUGAGUUUCCUCAGGAGGUUGGCUGGUGCCCACCUUAGAGAUAGGGUGAGAAGCUCGGUCAUUCGUGGGGA